UGGAUCGGGGGUGAGUCGUAACAAGGUAGCCGUAGGAUCCCGAGGCUCUUAUGAGUUAGGGGCCCACGGGUUCCUGACACGUGGGUAACCUGCCCAUAAGACUGGGAUAACUCCGGGAAACCGGGGCUAAUACCGGAUAACAUUUUGAACCGCAAGGUUCGAAAUUGAAAGGCGGCUUCCGCUGUCACUUAUGGAUGGACCCGCGUCGCACUAGCUAGUUGGUGAGGUAACGGCUCACCAAGGCAACGAUAAGUACCGACCGAGAGGAGAACCGGCACACGGGACAGAGACACGGCCCAGACCCUACGAGGCAGCAGUAGGAAUCCCCAAUGGACGAGUCGACGAACAACCGCUGAGGAUGAAGCUUCGUCGUAAACUCUGUUGUAGGAAGACAGUGCUAGUGAAUAGCUGCACUUGACGUACAAAGAAGCCACGGCUAUACGUGCACCAGCGCGUAUACGUAGUGGCAAGCGUUAUCCGAAUAUGGGCGUAAAGCGCGCGCAGGUGGUUUCUUAAGUCUGAUGUGAAGCCCACGCUCAACCGUGGAGGGUCAUUGGAAACUGGGAGACUUGAGUGCAGAAGAAGAAAGGGAAUUCCAUGUGUAGCGGUGAAAUGCGUAAAGAUAUGGAAGAACACCAGUGGCGAAGGCGACUUUCUCGUCUGUAACUGACACUGAGGCGCGAAAGCGUGGGGAGCAAACAGGAUUAGAUACCCUGGUAGUCCACGCCCGUAACGAUGAGUGCUAAAUGAUAGAGGGUUUCCGCCCUUUAGUGCUGAAUUAACGCAUUAACACUCCGCCUGGGGAGUACGGCCGCAAAGCUGAAACUCAAGGAAUUGACGGAGGCCCGCACAAGCGGUGGAGCAUUGGUUUAAUUUAAGCAACGCGAAGAACCUUAACAGGUCUUGACAUCCUCUGACAACCCUAGAAAUAGGGCUUUUCCUUCGGGACCAAAUGACAGGGGGAGCACGGUGUCGUCAGCUUCGUCCUGGAAGUUGGGUUAAGUCCCGCAACGAGCGCAACCCUUGAUUUUAGUUGCCCUCCUUUAGUUGGGCCCUUUAAGGUGACUGCCGGUGACAAACCGGAGGAAGGUGGGGAAGACGUCAAAUCCUCCUGCCCCUUAUGACCUGGGCUACCCCCGUGGUACAAUGGACGGUACAAAGAGCUGCAAGGCCGCGAGGGGGAACUAAUUUUAUAAAACCGUUUUCAGUUUGGAUUGUAGGCUGCAACUUGCCUACCUGAAGCCGGAAUCGGUUGUAAUUGCGGAUCAGCCUGCCGCGGGGAAUACGUUCCCGGGCCUUGUACACCCCCCCCCUCACCCCACGAGAAUUUCUAACCCCCAAAAAUCGGGAUCCAGAGUUUGAUCCUGGUCAGAACGAACGCUGU
rnacentral:rRNA from 1 species